GUAGGUGGCAAGCGUUGUCCGGAAUUAUUGGGCGUAAAGCGCGCGCAGGCGGUUCUUUAAGUCUGAUGUGAAAGCCCACGGCUCAACCGUGGAGGGUCAUUGGAAACUGGAGAACUUGAGUACAGAAGAGGAAAGCGGAAUUCCACGUGUGGCGGUGAAAUGCGUAGAGAUGUGGAGGAACACCAGUGGCGAAGGCGGCUUUCUGGUCUGUAACUGACGCUGAGGCGCGAAAGCGUGGGGAGCAAACAGGGAUUAGAUACCCUGGUAGUCCACGCCGUAAACGAUGAGUGCUAAGUGUUAGGGGGUUUCCCGCCCCUUAGUGCUGCAGCUAACGCAUUAAGCACUCCGCCUGGGGAGUACGGCCCGCAAGGCUG
rnacentral:rRNA from 1 species